AUUGAACGCUGGCGGCGUGCCUAACACAUGCAAGUCGAGCGGUAACAGGUGUAGCAAUACAUGCUGACGAGCGGCGAACGGGUGAGUAAUGCUUCGGAAUCUACCCAAUGGUGGGGAAUAACCAGCCGAAAGGUUGGCUAAUACCGCAUACGUCCCACGGGAGAAAGCAGGGGAUCGCAAGACCUUGCGCCAAUGGAUGAGCCGAAGUCGGAUUAGCUAGUUGGAGGGUAACGGCCUACCAAGGCGACGAUCCGUAGCUGGUCUGAGAGGACGACCAGCCACACUGGGACUGAGACACGGCCCAGACUCCUACGGGAGCAGCAGUGGGGAAUAUUGGACAAUGGGGGAAACCCUGAUCCAGCGACGCCGCGUGUGUGAAGAAGGCCUGCGGGUUGUAAA
rnacentral:rRNA from 1 species